GAUGAAGAACGUAGCGAAAUGCGAUAAUUAAUGUGAAUUGCAGAAUUUAGUGAAUCAUCGAAUCUUUGAACGCACAUUGCGCCCCUUGGUAUUCCGGGGGGCAUGCCUGUUCGAGCGUCAUUUCAACCCUCAAGCUCUGCUUGGUCUUGGGCCGCGCCGGCAACGGCGGGCCUCAAAAACAGUGGCGGCGCCAUCUGGUCCCUCAGCGUAGUAAUUCUUCUCGCUGCUGGGCCCCGGUGGCCGCUAGCCAGCAACCCCAAACUUUCUAUGGUUGACCUCGGAUCAGGUAGGGAUACCCGCUGAACUUAAGCAUAUCAAUAAGCGGAGGA
rnacentral:misc_RNA from 1 species